rnacentral:rRNA from 1 species
AAUCUGCCCAGUCGUGGGGGAUAACGUAGGGAAACUUACGCUAAUACCGCAUGCGCCCUUCGGGGGAAAGCCGGGGAUCUUCGGACCUGGCGCGAUUGGAUGAGCCCACGUCGGAUUAGCUAGUUGGGGGGGUAAAGGCCCACCAAGGCGACGAUCCGUAGCUGGUCUGAGAGGAUGAUCAGCCACACUGGAACUGAGACACGGUCCAGACUCCUACGGGAGGCAGCAGUAGGGAAUAUUGGACAAUGGGCGCAAGCCUGAUCCAGCCAUGCCGCGUGUGU